ACCUACGGGGGGCAGCAGUGAGGAAUAUUGGGCAAUGGGCGGGAGCCUGAACCAGCCAGGCCGCGUGAGGGAAGAAGGUACAGCGUAUCGUAAACCUCUUUUGUCAGGGAACAAAGGCGGGGACUAGUCCCCGGAUGAGGGUACCUGAAGAAAAAGCAUCGGCUAACUCCGUGCCAGCAGCCGCGGUAAUACGGAGGAUGCGAGCGUUAUCCGGAUUUAUUGGGUUUAAAGGGUGCGCAGGCGGCCUGUUAAGUCAGCGGUAAAAGCCCGGGGCUCAACCCCGGCGAGCCGUUGAAACUGGCGGG
rnacentral:rRNA from 1 species